AAAAUAUUGUUGGAUAAAAAUAUCGAUUUAGGCUUAAGGCUUAAUUUGGUAUUGAGACUUAUCUAAAUUAAAUUGAGAUAAAAGGAUAUAGUGAUAUUCUUCUGUGUUUUUUUUUUGGACCGCAGAAAAUAUAUCGUAAUCGACUAAUCACUAUAUUUUACGAAAAUUAGCCGAGUUUUUUUUUAUCGCAUUUUUUCACCGCACGUAAUGUAAUCUCUCAAUAAUCCCAAACGUGAUGAUAGGAAUUUAUGAUAGGAAUUUUGAAUCGGUGAUUGAAAUCCUAAAGUUGAUCUAGAGUACUGAAAAUGUUUUAAAACUAAAUUUUAUAAAUUUAAAGAUUAUUAUAAAACGUUAUCUAAAAAAUAUAAAAAAAAAUUUAUAAAAAAUUUAGGCGGUUUGAAUUACUCUGCACUAUUAAACAAGCAAACGGUUUAUAUAGAUUAUCAAAAAUUGUUGAUUUUAUGAUCCUUUAAACACUGCGUAAAUAAUUAUUUAAAUUUAUAAAGUUUAAUUUUUAGACGCUUAAAAUUAUUUAGAUCAAAUUUUAAUAGUUUAGAUUAUCGAUUCGAAAUUUCUAUCAUCUAAAAUAACUUAAGAUGAUGAAGAACUUCGUCCUCUAAAAAGGAUAGUAGUUGUACUUUAAUUUAAUUUCAAAUUAAGGGCCUGUUUGGCUUAGCUUCUGAAAAAGUGAUUUCUAGAAAAGUGAUUUUGGUUCAAAUCUGUAGAGCGUUUUGUGUAGUUUAAAUAAAAGUGAUUUUUCUGAAUUGAUUUUGAAAAACUGUUUGGCAAAUAUUUUUUAAUAUUUGCAUAAAUUAAUAUUUUAUUAAAUUUUACUUUAAAAUAAUUUAAAAUUUAAAUUUAAAUUUGAAUUAAAAUUAAAUUUUUAAUUUUCAAAAUUAUACAAAAUUUAAAAUUUGAUAUUUUAAUUUUAAAAAUAAUUUAAAAUUUUAAAAAUUUAAAAUUAAAAUAAUUGUGAAAUUUAAAAAUUAAAAAUAUAAAUAUAAAUUUUAAAACAUAUAUAUUACGAUUUUUAAAAUAUAAAAUUUUAAUAUAUAAAAAUAGAAAUUAAAAUUAAAAUUUCAAACUUUAAAUUUAGAAUUUCAAAUUUNAGUAAGAGAAAGAAGGAGCGGUGCGGUUCAGAAAGAUAGCUCGGUUCAAAAGUAGUUCGGUUCAAUAGAGAGGCUGGUAAGGUUGAGUGGUUCAGUAUAGAGAAAAGUGGUUUAUUUUAAAGUGGAGUUAUGAGGAUGAAGGAUAAGAUGCCAUGUGGCAAAAAAUAUUGUGGCUUCAUAUAUGUUUAUAGAUGAAUUCGCUUCGAUUUUAUUUAGAGGUUUAGGGAUGUAAUGAGUGGUCCGGUUUAGAGAAUAAGCAAGUAAGAGAAAGAAGGAGCGGUGCGGUUCAGAAAGAUAGCUCGGUUCAAAAGUAGUUCGGUUCAAUAGAGAGGCUGGUAAGGUUGAGUGGUUCAGUAUAGAGAAAAGUGGUUUAUUUUAAAGUGGAGUUAUGAGGAUGAAGGAUAAGAUGCCAUGUGGCAAAAAAUAUUGUGGCUUCAUAUAUGUUUAUAGAUGAAUUCGCUUCGAUUUUAUUUAGAGGUUUAGGGAUGUAAUGAGUGGUCCGGUUUAGAGAAUAAGCAAGUAAGAGAAAGAAGGAGCGGUGCGGUUCAGAAAGAUAGCUCGGUUCAAAAGUAGUUCGGUUCAAUAGAGAGGCUGGUAAGGUUGAGUGGUUCAGUAUAGAGAAAAGUGGUUUAUUUUAAAGUGGAGUUAUGAGGAUGAAGGAUAAGAUGCCAUGUGGCAAAAAAUAUUGUGGCUUCAUAUAUGUUUAUAGAUUAUAGAUAGCAAAAGCUACUAUAUAAUAUAACAUAUAUUCGUAAUCAGAUCGGCUUCAGAUUCGAGUUGAAUAAAGAUAAAAUCCAUACCCAAUCUGAAUUUGCCGGAUUUCGUUGAUAUCCAAAAUCUUAUUUGCGUAGUAUUGAAUAAAACCGCUUAAUUCGGGUUCGAAUUUG
rnacentral:lncRNA from 1 species